rnacentral:tRNA from 1 species
UUUAAUCUGGCAGAAAAAAUGCAUAAUAUUUAGAAUAUUAAGAUGAAUAUUAAUA